CAAGGUUUCCGUAGGUGAACCUGCGGAAGGAUCAUUAUUGAAUUGAACCGUUGGACUGUUGCUGGCUCGUCAAAGAGCAUGUGCACGCCCUUCGACUUCUACCAUUUCCACCUGUGCACCUUUUGUAGUUCCAUUGGAAGGGAAGGCGAACUUGUCUCGAGGCAACUCGGGUUUGGGAGGUUGAGUGCCUUUGUGGGCGCGCUCCUUCCGCAGCCGUUCUGACCUUUGGUUCUAUGUUUUUAUACACUAUUGUAUGUCUAGAAUGUCUUGUGGCUAGCCGUAAAAAGCGACGCCUUAAACUUAAUACAACUUUCAACAACGGAUCUCUUGGCUCUCGCAUCGAUGAAGAACGCAGCGAAAUGCGAUAAGUAAUGUGAAUUGCAGAAUUCAGUGAAUCAUCGAAUCUUUGAACGCACCUUGCGCUCCUUGGUAUUCCGAGGAGCAUGCCUGUUUGAGUGUCAUUAAAUUCUCAACUCCUCCAGCUUUGGUUGGUUGGAGCUUGGAUGUGAGGGUUUGUGCGGGCCUCUCUCGAGAGGUCGGCUCCCUUGAAAUGCAUUAGCGGAACGUCUUCGCGGACCGUCACCUGGUGUGAUAAUUAUCUACGCCUACUGACUGAUGUGAAAUGGUUCAGCUUUCUAACCGUCCUUAGGGACAACUCUUGACA
rnacentral:rRNA from 1 species